GACGAACGCUGGCGGCGUGCCUAAUACAUGCAAGUUGAGCGCUGAAGGUUGGUACUUGUUCCGACUGGAUGAGCAGCGAACGGGUGAGUAACGCGUGGGUAAUCUGCCUUUGAGCGGGGGACAACAUUUGGAAACGAAUGCUAAUACCGCAUAAAAACUUUAAACACAAGUUUUAAGUUUGAAAGAUGCAAUUGCAUCACUCAAAGAUGAUCCCGCGUUGUAUUAGCUAGUUGGGGAGGUAAAGGCCCACCAAGGCCAUGAUACAUAGCCGACCUGAGAGGGUGAUCGGCCACAUUGGGAAUGGGACACGGCCCAAACCCCUACGGGAGGCAGCAGUAGGGGAUCUUCGGCAAUGGACGAAAGUCUGAACGAGGAACGCCGGGUGAGGGGAGAAGGGUCUCGGAUCGGAAAACUCUGUUGGUAGGGAAGAACGUUGGUGAGAGUGGAAAGCUCAUCAAGUGACGGUAACUACCCAGAAAGGGACGGCUAACUACGUG
rnacentral:rRNA from 1 species